rfam:Glossina morsitans morsitans, isolate Yale, WGS project CCAG01000000 data, contig: ctg10009954
AGCCUCACAAAGUGGCUGUGAAAUGUUGUGAAUUAUAUGAUUUUAGUUCUAAUUCAAUCUAAAAUUGCAUAUCACAGCCAGCUUUGAUGAGCUAGG